rnacentral:misc_RNA from 1 species
GUCAAUUUGAACGUAAACCAAAAAUAAAAGGGUUGAAUUAGAUCAAAAGUUGAAAAUGGGCUAAAUUGGACAUUCCUAAAAAAUACAGGGGGGAAAUUGAACUUAUUUCCUUUUUAUAAAUAAUUAUAUAUAUUUAGCUUGACCUAUGUAGCAUCUCGUCUGGUGCUCUUGCUACCAUUUAUCAGUGAUGAAAUUGUUUCAAGGGAGAAAAUAAUUGCUAUUCAUUAAAUCAUAAUUAUUCAUCCAUACUGCACAUUGGUCAAAUACUUAAGCAUGCACAACUUUGUGUUUCAUUUUGUGCUUUAUUUUUCAUUUCCAUUUGCGCAGAUCAGCAAAUUGCAUUAGAUUCCCGUUUCUAACAUUGAUGGUGGUGAAUGACAGGACUAUGCCAAGACAGAUGGA